GACGAACGCUGGCGGCGUGCCUAAUACAUGCCAGUAGAACGCACAGUUUAUACCUUAGCUUGCUACACCAUAGACUGUGAGUUGCGAACCGUUGAGUAACGCGUAGGUAACCUGCCUGGUAGCGGGGGAUAACUAUUGGUAACGAUAGCUAAUACCGCAUAAUAUUAAUUAUUGCAUGAUACUUAAUUUAAAGGUUCAAUUGCACCACUACCAGCUGGACCUUGGUUGUAUUAGCUAGUAGGUGAGGUAACGGCUCACCUAGGCGGCGAUACAUAGCCGAGCUGAGAGGGAGAUAGGCCACACUGGGAAUGAGACACGGCCCAGACUCCUACGGGAGGCAGCAGGAGGGGAACUUUGGCAAUGGACGAAAGGCUGACCGAGCAACGCCGCGGGAGGGAAGAAGGGUGUCGGAUCGUAAAGGUCUGUUGUAAGAGAAGAACGGGUGUGAGAGUGGAAAGUUCACACUGUGACGGUAUCUUACCAGAAAGGGACGGCUAACUACGUG
rnacentral:rRNA from 1 species